rnacentral:rRNA from 1 species
UUCCGGUUGAUCCCGCCGGAGGUCACUGCUAUCGGGGUUCGAUUAAGCCAUGCGAGUCGAGAGGGUUCAGACCCUCGGCGGACUGCUCAGUAACACGUGGAUAAUCUGCCCUAUGGUGGAGGAUAACCCCGGGAAACUGGGGAUAAUACUCCAUAAGUCAGGAGUACUGGAAUGUCUCCUAACUGAAAGUUUCGGCGCCAUAGGAUGAAUCUGCGGCCGAUUAGGUAGUUGUUGGGGUAACGGCCCAACAAGCCCGUAAUCGGUACGGGUUGUGGGAGCAAGAGCCCGGAGAUGGAAUCUGAGACACGAUUCCAGGCCCUACGGGGCGCAGCAGGCGCGAAAACUUUACAAUGCAGGAAACUGUGAUAAGGGAACCCCGAGUGCCCGUACACGCGGGCUGUCCCGGUGUUUAAAACACAUCGGAAGAAAGGGCCGAGCAAGACCGGUGCCAGCCGCCGCGGUAAUACCGGCGGCUCGAGUGGUGACCACUUUUAUUGGGCUUAAAGCGUUCGUAGCUUGAUUUUUAAGUCUCUUGGGAAAUCUCACGGCUUAACUGUGAGGCGUCUAAGAGAUACUGGGAAUCUAGGGACCGGGAGAGGUAAGAGGUACUUCAGGGGUAGAAGUGAAAUUCUGUAAUCCUUGAGGGACCACCGAUGGCGAAGGCAUCUUACCAGAACGGCUUCGACAGUGAGGAACGAAAGCUGGGGGAGCGAACGGGAUUAGAUACCCCGGUAGUCCCAGCCGUAAACUAUGCGCGUUAGGUGUGCCUGUAACUACAAGUUACCGGGGUGCCGAAGUGAAAACGUGAAACGUGCCGCCUGGGAAGUACGGUCGCAAGGCUGAAACUUAAAGNAAUUGGCGGGGGAGCACCACAACGGGUGGAGCCUGCGGUUUAAUUGG